rnacentral:rRNA from 1 species
UAAUACGUAUGGUGCAAGCGUUAUUCGGAUUUAUUGGGCGUAAAGGGUCCGUAGGUGGUUUGUUAAGUCUGAUGUGAAAUCCUAUGGCUCAACCAUAGAACUGCAUUGGAAACUGACGAACUAGAGUAUUGGAGAGGUAAGUGGAAUUUCAGGUGUAGCGGUGGAAUGCGUAGAUAUCUGAAGGAACACCAAAAGCGAAGGCAGCUUACUGGACAAUCACUGACACUGAGGGACGAAGGCGUGGGUAGCGAAAAGGAUUAGAUACCCUUGUAGUCCACGCAGUAAACGUUGUGUACUAGUUGUGGGGGGAAUUAGCCCCCUCCGUGACUGAGCUAACGCAUUAAGUACACCGCCUGGGGACUACGGCCGCAAGGCUA